CUAUUUUCCAUCCUUAUUUUUUAGCCACAGGUCAUGACCCAGAAGAUACAAUAAAUGAGUGAAGUCAGAGCUGAGUCCAGAUUCAUGCCCUGGGUUUGGGAGUAAAUCCUAGUAGCAUUGGCUGUGGGUCAUGGAACUACAGAAUUAUACAGCAGAAAGCAUCUUUCAAGGUCUUCAAAGUUGAGCUUCUUCAUAUUGCAUAUGAGAAAACUAGAAGCAGCAGCAUCACCUGUCCCUCAUGGCUGUUCCCAGGAUCUUCUGGUGAGGGUGGAGCUUCCCUGGUGGCUCAGCAGUAAGUAAUCCGCCUGCAAAGCGGGAGACCUGGGUUGGAUCCCUGGGUUGGGAAGAUUCCCUGGAGGAGGAAAUGGCAACCCACUCAGUAUUCU
rnacentral:lncRNA from 1 species